UCGCAGUUUAAUACUAACGCAGACAGUGGAUGCCUAGGUCGCAUCUUCCGAAGAAGGACGCACAUGGCGCGCGAAACGCGCCGGGGAGCUGCCACGAAGCUUUGAUCCGGCGAUGUCCGAAUGGGAAAACCCCCUCGAUUUAUCGGGGACCUAUGCCCCAAAUAUUUCGAUUUAUCGGAAUUACUAAGGUGUAUGGAGGGAACCACCCGAACUGAAACAUCUAAGUAGGGUGAGGAAGAGAAAUUAACAAAGAUUACCGAAGUAGCGGCGAGCGAAAUGGUAACAGUCUAAACUUUCGUGAUGCUUGCAUCACGAAGGGGUUGCGGGACUUUAAUAUGAGAGUUUUUGCGAUAGCAGAAUUUUUUGGAAUAUCAAGCCAUAGAGAGUGAAAGCCUCGUAUGCGAAAUCAAAAAAACCUCUAGAAGUAUCCCAAGUACCAUGGAGUACAUACUCUGUGGGAAUCCGGGGGAACCAUCCUCCAAGACUAAAUAAGGGUGCGGACCGAUAGUGAACUAGUACCGUGAGGGAAAGGCGAAAAGAAGAGCGGAACGCUCAGUGAAAUAGAACCUGAAACUGUUUGCGGACAAACCGAGAGAGCUCUCAGCGAUGGGGGUGAUCUCGUGCCUAUUGAAGAAUGAACCGGCGAGUUAUUUUAUGCUGCAGCUUAAUCCCGUUUAGCGGGAGAAGGCAAAGUGAAAGCUAGGGUGAAUAGCCCGAACAAUUAUGUAGCUUAGAAUAGACCCGAAACCGAGUGAUCUAGCCAUGAGCAGGGUGAGUCCUGUAGAAAUACAGGAGGAGGCCCGAACCGGUUGUUGUUGCAAUAACAUCGGAUGACUUGUGGAUAGCGGUAAUAUGCCAAUCGAACUCGGAGAUAGCUGGUUCUCCCCGAAAGGUCUAUAGGGACCGUGGUCGUCAAAAAUUUCAGGGUGGUAGAGCACUGGAUGGGUCAGAGAGCGCAAGCAAUUUGAUUCAAUCAAACUCCGAAUAACUUGAAAUAUGGGCGACUAGACAGCCGCAUCGGGCUAAGCUGAUGCGACUAAAGGAAAAGAAUCCAGACUCACAGCUAAGGCCUCUAAAUCUAACUUAAGUUUGAAAGGAAGUGUGUCGUUCAUAGACAGCCAGGAGGUUGGCUUAGAAGCAGCCACCCUUUAAAGAUAGCGUAACAGCUCACUGGUCGACUGAGCGCACGCGCCGAAGAUUUAUCGAGGAUUAAAGUUAGUGCCGAAGCUUGAGAUUUUUUUACACCUUUGGGUGUAAAGGAGUGGUAGGGGAGCGUUCCAACAGCUGUGAAGCUAUACUGUAAAGUGUGGUGGAGCGGUUGGAAGUGAGAAUGCCGGUAUGAGUAGCGAACGAGUCCUGUGAGAAUCAGGACCGCCGAAUGCCCAAGGUUUCCGUCGCGAGGUUCGUCCUCGACGGGUUAGUCGGUACCUAAGGUGAGGCCGUAAUGGCGUAACCGAUGGACAACUAGUUAAAAUUCUAGUACUUAUUUUGUAUCGUUAUCAGCUGGGGAUUGACUGAGUUAGAUUUCUAAAGCGUCUUUGUGAAAUGACGUGCAGAAGCCAAAAUAGUCGAGAUUGGAAAAUCCGUUUCGAUGUUUAGUUUAGGUGGUGCAAAGUCUCGCGAAUAGCGGGGUGAUUUUAGCUAAUUUAGCUUACAAGAAAAAAUUCGCAGUGAGAGACAAAUUAAGCCGUACCGCAAACCGACACAGGUGGGCUGGUCGAGAAGACUAAGGCGAGCGAGAGAAAGAGGUUUAAGGAACUCGGCAAAAAAAUUACCCGUAACUUAGGGAGAUGGGUUUCCCGCUUAGCGGGAUGCAACUAAAGUUUAUUAGUCGACUGUUUAUCAAAAACACAUGUCCGUGCAAAAGAGUUAAUCUUAUGUAUACGGGCUGACGCCUGCCCAGUGCUGGUAAGUUAAGGGGAGGGGUCUUUGCACCUUCGGGUGUACUGGCUCUGAACUCAAGCUCCAGUAAACGGCAGCAGUAACUAUAACUGUUCUACGGUAGCGAAGUUCCUUGUCGGGUAAGUUCCGACCCGCACGAAUGGCGUCACGAGCUAAUAACUGUCUUAAGCCUCUACUCGGCGAAAUUGCGGUGGCUGUGAAGACGCGGCCUACAUGUACUUGGACAAAAAGACCCCGUGGAGUUUUACUGUAGUUUGGCAUUGAUUUAUCGAUUUUAACUGUGUAGCGUAGGAGGGAGUCCCGCUUAGCGGGACAACAAUGUAACACCUCUCUUUGAAAUACGAUGAAUCUCACCCAAUCCCUCUGAAAACGUGGGAGGGGAAAGUGCUAGAUGGGCAGUUUUACUGGGGCGGUACCCUGCUAAAUUGUAACGCAGGGGCACAAAGGUACUCUUGCUACGGAUGGAAAUCGUAGUGUAAGCGUAAAGGUAUAAGAGUGCUUGACUGCAAGGCAGACAUGCCGCGCAGAUGCGAAAGCAGGUCUUAGUGAUCCUCCGAUCCCUCAUGGGUUGGGACGGAGCUUAACGGAUAAAAACUACCCCGGGGAUAACAGAGUAGUCGCGCCCGAGCGUCCAUAGCGACGGCGCGGUUCGCUACCUCGAUGUCGGCUCAGCACAUCCUGGAGGUGUAGAAGCUUCCAAGGGUUGGUCUGUUCGCCCAUUAAAGUGCUACGUGAGCUGGGUUCAGAACGUCGCGAGACAGUUGAACACCUAAGACAUUUGGUGUUGACAAGUCUAAGAGCGGUCUCAUCCUUUUGACGUUGAACAAACUGAUUCGAAGUAGAAAAUGUUUAUCUUUUUGUCUAGAUAAUUAAAUAAAGGAAUAUAAAUCUGGCUAUAUGCUGGAAAGUCUCGUAAAAUAUUAGUGUACUAGUGUACAAUUUGUGUACUAGUAAAAAUCAUUAACCUGAGAUUAUCAGCAGGAAAGGCUAAUUUAUAUGUCUCAAUUUAUUAGUGACGAUUAUUUUGCAGGUUUUGUUGAAGGAGAAGGGAUGUUUUACAUAGGUAUAGUUCCUUCGAAAGAAACAAAAACUGGUUGGCAAGUAAUUUAUUUUUUUAAGGUUUCUCAAAAUCCUGCUGGAAGGCAAGUUUUGGAAAAAUUAAAAGAGAGGUUAUUUUGUGGCUAUAUUAAAGCAAAUAGUUUAACUGAUAAAAAUGACAAUUCACUUGCAUUUGUUGUACGUGAUUUGCCAAGUUUGAGAGACAAGGUUAUUCCAUUUUUUGAUAACAAGUUUGUUAUUAAAAAGGAUGCUUUUGAAAAAUUCAAGCAAGUUAUUCAACUUGUGAAUAAUAAAGAGCAUUUAAAAAAAAGUGGAAUAAAAAGAAUUUUAGAAAUUGCAUAUUCUAUGAAUACUCGUAAAAGAAGGGUGUCCAGAGAGCAAAUUCUUAAAUCAUAUAUAAAUUAGAAUCCUCACAGGCCAUACGCCAGAGUCGUUUUUUUUAAACGACAAGAUAUGGUCGGACCCUGUUGGCGACAAUGGGAGUCUCGCAGAAUGAAAAUGACGAGACCAUCGAAUAAUCGAUGUAACAAUAAUGUCGGACUCUAUCCAGUACAUGCGUUUUGAGUUUUGAGGAGAGCUAGCCUUAGUACGAGAGGACCAGGCUGGAGGAAUCCCUGGUGUGCCGGUUGUUACGUCAGUAGCAGCGCCGGGUAGCUACAUUCCUAUGUGAUAACCACUGAAAGCAUCUAAGUGGGAAGCCAACUCCAAGAUUAGAACUCUAUAAGAUCCCUGGAAGAACACCAGGUUAAUCGGCUGGCAGUGGAAGCGCCGUAAGGCGUUAAGCUUACCAGUGCGAAUAGAUCGAAUUAAUGCGAAC
rnacentral:rRNA from 1 species